rnacentral:rRNA from 1 species
AGCGAACGCUGGCGGCAGGCCUAACACAUGCAAGUCGAACGGCAGCACAGUAAGUGCUUGGUCUUACGGGUGGCGAGUGGCGGACGGGUGAGGAAUACAACGGAAUCUACAUUUUCGUGUGGGAUAACGUAGGGAAACCUACGCUAAUACCGCAUACGACCCACGGGGGAAAGCAGGGGAUCUUCGGACCUUGCGCGAUUGAAUGAGCCGAUGUCGGAUUAGCUAGUUGGCGGGGUAAAGGCCCACCAAGGCGACGAUCCGUAGCUGGUCUGAGAGGCUGAUCAGCCACACUGGAACUGAGACACGGUCCAGACUCCUACGGGAGGCAGCAGUGGGGAAUAUUGGACAAUGGUCGCAAGCCUGAUCCAGCCAUACCGCGUCGGUGAAGAAGGCCUUCGGGUUGUAAAGCCCUUUUGUUGGGAGAGAACAGCAGCCGGUUAAUACCCCGCUGUUCUGACGGUACCCAAAGAAUAAGCACCGGCUAACUUCGUG